rnacentral:lncRNA from 1 species
GUGUCACAAGCAUCGGCUGGUUGUUAUUCGACUGUCGAAUUAUUCAAUAUGGCAAUUUUAGGGGCUUUGUUGCUUGUAUUUUUUUUUACUUUGAAUACUAUUGAUAUCAGUGUAUGCGUGAAUUGGCAUUCAUUUGGAAGUAAAAAGUAUAUGUUUAUUGAAGACAAGUUAAAUUGGUUUGAUGCGCAGACUGUUUGUCAGGCAAUGGGAAGUAGAUUGGCACAUGUUAUGAGUGCAGAUGAAAACAGUUUCUUAAUCUCUAUGACAAACAGUAAGUACUUUUUCUACAAUACAUUAUACAUGUUAUUUUCCAUAACGUUUAUGCAUACAUUUACUUUUCAAUGAUUUGAUAUUUGAAAUACAAAAUUCAUAUCCAGAGACUCCAUAUGAGAGUUAUUUUCCCUUCUGUAUGUAAAAAUCAGUGAAAUAUAAUGUUUAAGUGCAUGGGCUGUUUUCUGUAUGACAGUCUAAAUUUUCAUAUCCAUACCAAACAUUAUUGUAAUGUUUUUUCCCCCAAAUUUUACGAAAAAAAUGAGGCGUUAGACACCAAUUUUUUAUUUCAUCUUGUGGUUAAUUAAUGUCAAUGGUUUCAGAAAAGGUAUUAUUCAAAGGCAUUCAAUUUCUAGUUUGACCAAAUUUUGGGGGAAUACGUGACAUUUUAACCCUUUUUCACAAUUUCAUGGUAAAUAAAUACAGAAAUUUGCCUUGGAUACAUAAAAAAGGAAUUAUAUUUCAGCAUAUUGACGUUUGAAAAUCAAAUCUACGGAAUGUACCGACUACAUACAUGACAAAAAUGCACAUGUAUGACACAAACAGUUAGCUUGAUGUACAAGAAAACCAUUAACAGAAGAUAAUUAAACAUUUAGUGGUUCAAUUUCAAUUUCAUUUUCUAACUGUGGAGUGCUACUUUAGGCGUUAUAGGCGACAACUGUACGUCACUGUGCCUUGGUGGUUAGGUACUGUUGAAAUGAUAGCAGUGUAUUUGUACACGAAAAAAACGACGAAAUGGGUUUUUGCUUUUUGUCAUACAAAUUGGGGCGAAUUAUCUUUGUAUAGGUAGUCUUUGAAUAUCUUCCCUAUAAAUAUUCCAAUUAUGUCUCUGCUAGAAACAACUGCAUGGAUCGGAGGUGCAGAUAUUCACCAAGAAGGUGACUGGAGAUGGUACAGCCCUUUAACAGAAAUAGAUUUCACAUACUGGCAACGCACCCAACCCAACCAGGGAAGAAGUGCUAAUUGUAUGUGCUACUACAAAUUCUCUUCAACAGUUUUCAAGUGGGCAGAUGAACCAUGUACCAAUGGCUAUUAUUUUGUGUGCGGAAAGUAAGUCAUUCGAAUAUGUUUAAUCUUUUUUUCAAAUAGAGACAGGAAAAUGAUGUGGUACUUUUCUACAUUAUUAUAUGAUAUAAAAAAUAAAUAACACUUUAUAAUGUCGCAUGCUCUCAAUCUAUAUAUCAAUGACAAUGGUUAAGUCCAUGAAUAAGUAUAUGUAGUUCGACAGCAUGUAGUGCUUCACAUCUGGGCUAUAUUACUUAUUAUUACAGUCUCUGUUUUCAUUUCUUUACCUUAAAUCUGUUGAAUAUAACAAUUUAGAUUGCUAAAUUUUUUUAGAGAUGUAUAAGUACCAAGCCACGUUCAACUAGUUUACUUUAGUCAAAAUUUAUUAUUAUCUUUUAACGGCCGUUUGUUUUAAACAUCGCAGACUCUAAUGUAACUACACUACCGUUGUCAAAUCUGAAAUAUUUACAAAUUUAGACCGUUCAGUGCUGUUUAUUUGGAAUUCUUAUUGAUGCAUCUUGUAACAUCACAAUUGUCGACACUGUUAAAGCUUUAGAAUUUUGCUAGUUCAUAACGCACAUUAUUAUUUUUAUUUAAAGCAUAUAUUUACACUCUCUGAUGUAAUUAGUCAUAUAACCUAUGUCGUGUUUAACAAAUGUUUAGAAUUGUGCAAGCGUCUUACAUGAUGUUCGGUUUGACUUUUUUAUUGUAUAAAUUUCAAGAUUGUAUAACAGCUUAAUCUAAGUAAACUGAUAAUGCUUACACAUAGCAAUCAGAUAUACUGCUGUUCAUUUUGACGUAAAAUACCUUAGGGUUUUUAGAUUAUGAACUAAAAAAAAGUUGAUUUUGAUUAUGGAGCUUUACAAAAAUCUUCAAAGCUCGGGAGUGUUUUUUGUUCUAGUAUACUGAUAAAAAAUGCUUUCAAUCCUUAUUAUUCAUGAAGUGUUGACUUUUUAUACAUGAUGUAACUAUAAACGUUUUAUCGUAUAUUUCAGUAAUAAAAAUCAAUUUAGUUUUGUGUUAAAUGUACACAUUUUAAGCUUUAGGUUGGGUCCCGUACUGUUACGGUAUAUUAGAAAAACGAUAUGUUGUUAUUGUAUAAAUGUCAUUUUGUUGGGCAUAAGCCAAGGUCUUUUUAUCAGAAAAGAUAAGUACUCUUCAAACGUUUUCCGAAUAUCAAGGAGAACAUUUACUUCACUUAUAUAAUUGAUAUCAGUGCAACUAAAUAUUUGAUUUAAUAUGGAACACUUUUAUUUAAAAAAGUAUUUUGGUUUUCGUACUUUAAAUAUGAACUGUUGAUAUGAAAUGAUAUUGGUAAAAUAUUGCAGGGUAAAAGAAGACCACGGACACGACGAUAGAUUUUCAACAAGUGGAGACAACUGCAUGAAAAUGUGCUUACAGAAUAGCAAAGAGGAAGCUGGAAAAUGCAUGAAAAUUUGCCUUUGAAAUAAAGCAAUUAUCCAAUGAAUGAGUGAUUGCCAGAAGGUUGUCUCUCCUAGCUGUAUAAUAUUCGUUAAAUAUUGAAGCAGACUAUUUGUCUUAAUCUGAAACAAACAUAAAAAUAUGUUCCAUAACUCCUAACUCUUCAACAUUUUUUUUGUUCUUACAUUAAUAGAAUUUUAACAAUAAAUAACCUAUAGA